AGCUGGAAUCGCUAGUAAUCGCGGAUCAGAAUGCCGCGGUGAAUACGUUCCCGGGCCUUGUACACACCGCCCGUCACACCAUGGGAGCCGGUAAUACCCGAAGUCAGUAGUCCAACCACGUGAGGACGCUGCCGAAGGUAGGAUUGGCGACUGGGGUGAAGUCGUAACAAGGUAUC
rnacentral:rRNA from 1 species